rnacentral:rRNA from 1 species
GGGUGGCGUGUCGGAUUAUUGGGCGUAAGGGCUCGCAGGCGGUUUCUUAAGUCUGAUGUGAAAGCCCCCGGCUCAACCGGGGAGGGUCAUUGGAAACUGGGGAACUUGAGUGCAGAAGAGGAAAGUGGAAUUCCACGUGUAGCGGUGAAAUGCGUAGAGAUGUGGAGGAACACCAGUGGCGAAGGCGACUCUCUGGUCUGUAACUGACGCUGAGGAGCGAAAGCGUGGGGAGCGAACAGGAUUAGAUACCCUGGUAGUCCACGCCGUAAACGAUGAGUGCUAAGUGUUAGGGGGUUUCCGCCCCUUAGUGCUGCAGCUAACGCAUUAAGCACUCCGCCUGGGGAGUACGGUCGCAAGACUGAAACUCAAAGGAAUUGACGGGGGCCCGCACAAGCGGUGGAGCAUGUGGUUUAAUUCGAAGCAACGCGAAGAACCUUACCAGGUCUUGACAUCCUCUGACAAUCCUAGAGAUAGGACGUCCCCUUCGGGGGCAGAGUGACAGGUGGUGCAUGGUUGUCGUCAGCUCGUGUCGUGAGAUGUUGGGUUAAGUCCCGCAACGAGCGCAACCCUUGAUCUUAGUUGCCAGCAUUCAGUUGGGCACUCUAAGGUGACUGCCGGUGACAAACCGGAGGAAAGUGGGGAUGACGUCAAAUCAUCAUGCCCCUUAUGACCUGGGCUACACACGUGCUACAAUGGACAGAACAAAGGGCAGCGAAACCGCGAGGUUAAGCCAAUCCCACAAAUCUGUUCUCAGUUCGGAUCGCAGUCUGCAACUCGACUGCGUGAAGCUGGAAUCGCUAGUAAUCGCGGAUCAGCAUGCCGCGGGGGAAUACGUUCCCGGGCCUUGUACACACCGCCCGUCACACCACGAGAGUUUGUAACACCCGAAGUCGGUGAGGUAACCUUUUAUGAGCCAGCCGCCGAAGGUGGGACAGAUGAUUGGGGUGAGUAUAAAAGAGGGGGGAAAAAAAAAAAAAAAAAAAUUUUAAAAAAAU